rnacentral:rRNA from 1 species
AUGCCAGGUGUUCCCAGGGGACUGGCUGAGCAUCGCCUAAGAGUCGACUCGUCUACAAAACCAGUCAAAGAGCAUCUUCGGCGGUCCGCCGUCCAGAAGAGAAAGGCCAUCGGAGAAGAAGUGGCUCGACUGUUGGCGGCAGGAUUUAUCCGAGAGAUAUACCACUCCGAGUGGCUCGCUAAUGUCGUCAUGGUUCCUAAGAAGGACAAGUCGCUCCGAAUGUGCAUUGAUUUCAAGCACAUCAACCGGGCCUGCCCGAAAGAUCACUUUCCUCUCCCUCGCAUAGAUCAAAUUGUUGACUCGACCGCGGGAUGCGAGAGGUUGUCUUUUUUAGAUGCUUACUCCGGGUACCACCAGAUCCGUCUGUACGGGCCCGAUGAGAUAAAAACAGCUUUCAUCACUCCAUUCGGGUGCUUCUGCUAUAUCACCAUGCCAUUCGGCCUCAAGAAUGCCGGAGCCACAUUUAUGCGAAUGAUUCAGAAGUGUCUACUCACCCAAAUCAGUCGGAAUGUGGAAGCUUAUAUGGAUGAUAUUGUUGUCAAGUCACGAAAAGGUUCCGACCUGCUCGCUGACCUCGCCGAAACAUUUGCCAACCUUAGAAGGUAUGAUAUCAAGCUCAAUCCAUCAAAGUGCACAUUUGGAGUUUCUGGUGGCAAGUUACUCGGUUUUCUCGUUUCCGAACGGGGAAUCGACGCUAACCCAGAGAAGAUUGGCACUAUUCUCCGAAUGAAACGCCCUGUGCGAGUGCACGAUGUCCAGAAGCUUACUGGAUGCUUGGCCGCAUUAAGUCGAUUCAUCUCACGACUCGGUGAAAAGGCACUGCCUCUUUACCGACUGAUGAAGAAGGCUGACAAGUUCGAGUGGACUCCAGAAGCUGAUGCAGCGUUUGCCGAGCUAAAAGCUCUGCUCUCCACCCAGCCGGUGCUUGCUGCUCCAAUCAGCAAAGAGCCUCUGUUGCUCUACAUCGCAGCCACAGGACAAGUCGUCAGUACUGUGCUAACGGUCGAGCGGGAAGAAGAAGGAAAAGCUCUCAAAGUUCAGCGCCCAGUGUAUUAUUUGUCUGAAGUCUUGACU